UGCUAUACAAGGAAAUACUGAGUUUGAUGUUCUACGUUUCAUGUUAUAUUUUACAUUCAACCCUCACUCCAACCUCCCAGGACUCUUCAUUUGAUGUGUGAGUCUUUGUGAUGUUGGAAAUGUCACUGAGAGAGAUGUGCUGUGUGAGUUUGGACAGUCGGGAUGAUUAAGAGGAUCUGGAGCCCCUGUGAAGUACAGAAGAGCAAAAGCUGCAGGGACACACAAAGCGUACUUCACUGUGGUCUCACUUCCAAAUAAAUGGAUCCAUCCAGUCUGUCGAUUUAAUGAAACACUAAACUACACUGUUAUUUCUGUGCUCAAAGCAUAUCUGUGAUAAUGUCUGAGAAAUCCUUGUGUUUGUCACUACUAUGGAAAAGCCUGUUCAUUACACGGACAAAGCAAUUUGUGUCUCACUGCGCUUUUCUUCCCCCAAAACAAACAGAUACUGUUGCUGGUUCAUGCAAACAGACAGCUCUUCUUCUUCUUCCUCCUCCUCCUCCUCGGACCGGUUUGACAGCAACAAAGCCACGCGCCUGUGCUGUCACAAACACCAGCCUCCCAUAGUUCCCAUUCCUGCACGCGGGCCGACCGGCUUACUGUCUGUCAACCCACAGCUUCUCCAGGCAAGUCACAUGUCUGUCAGUAUGUCAGAGUCAGACACGCCGGGAUCUGGAGGUAAACAUGCAGAGAAUUAUAAGUUAUUUUCUGGAAAAGCACAAGACAACCUUGGUUUGAUACAGGAGAUUAAAUCCAAACCUGCUAUUUAAGCAUAUUGGUGAAAUUCUUUGUCUUUUGGAUUUUGUUCCACUUAAACAGCAGCACAUUUUUUUCUGAUUUAGUUUUCAGCCGACACAUCAAGUCAGAACCCGAGCUUUAAAGAUGAAACCCUGUGGUUUUCUGUUCAAGUAGCAGGAGCAGAGGUCGUUAUUGGAGAAGGAAAUUAGAGACGAGGGCACCGGCGAGGACACGGACACACCUAGGUGACACGUCACCUGGAAAAUCCACCUGACAACCACAUUCUCACGUUUUUCUGACAUGUCACAAGGUUUCCUGAGCUUCAGACUGAUGUUUUGAUAGAAGCUUGAUGCGGUUUCACCUGAGACCUUGUGAGCAAUAACAAUGAAACUCUUACAUGUGCUUCUCCUUCUCCUUAUGCAACAAUCAGGCAGAUUUAGACAAACACAGACUGCUGCUGGAAGCUACAGUGUACACUGUGAGGAGGAUCAACACAGAGCGGCAGCUACUGAGUCAAAUGUCAUGGAGAGGCAGAGACAAAGUGUUCGAUCUCUGACUCCUGGACUUUGAUAGUGUGUAAACAUCCUCCAGGCCGCCGCUCAAGCUGAAGGACCUUUUCCAGAAUAAACACUGACCUUGUCAGGACCAGUUCACCUAAUGGGUCGUCAUGAGGUCCUGGGGUAAUGAUAGUGCAUCCUACAAGACCAACACAAGCCCAUCUGGCAAAAUACAACAUGGCUGCCUGUUGGCAUAAUGAGUGCGAUACCAACCUUGACCUGAAAACCCUGGCAUCCAUCCUUCAUGUCAAGCGAGCAUCCACCCUGAUGAAUGUGUCAGUGAACAAGAGUGAGGCUGAGCUCCUGCCGGCUCCACAGGCGCUGUGCCAUCGCAGACCAUGACCUCUGACCUUCCUGUGCAAAAUGGAAAUGCCCUCAGGGAAUGUAAAAGUUAAAGACUAUGUCAUGUCCAACCUAUCACUGUCACUAGGAGCCAACCUGACUUCAUAUUUCUGAAAACCUUUUGCUCAGCUUUGUGUUUGGAGUUGGAAAAAUUUCACAAACAUUCAGAAGUUCCUCAUGAAGUGUGAAAUCCACAACAGACAACAUAAGAAAAUUGCAAACUCAAAUUUACAAUAAAACAGUGA